GGGAUGUAACUCAGUUGGUAGAGUACUUGCCUUGCAUGCACAAGGCCCUGGGUUCAAUUCCCAGCACCACCA
rnacentral:tRNA from 1 species